CAUAGUCUUCAGCUGAAGACAAAUCUGGUGGUAGAGAAGAAUGAGCAUCUUGAAUAUCUAAAAAUCAGAGUGUCCUGUCUACCUCACUACUCAAUGAAGCAGGCAGGUUCACGUGACCCAACUAUAAAACAGACCUUGCCAAUUUGAGUGGGGAAAGUUGAAUAGAUUUCAAUACAAAACCCCCGGGGGAAAUCAUCAAUCUAUAGAGCAGCACCACACUACUUGGGGAUCACAGCACAUCCAGCUGUUUCCUCAGUUAUAAGGCAUACUAUAGGGAUUGUUUUAAAAUCAUCCCUGCAGAAGAGGUUUUAAAUGGAAAACCAGUGGCACUCAGUGGCUUCAGAGGGGAUUGCAGGAAUCUUUGAAAUCCCGGCACCACCGGUUGUUAUAAAAUGAUGCCAUUAAAACAGUAUACACCAGCUGUGCUAUCCCCACAUAACAGAAGGGGGCAGGGGUUGCCUUGCUAUAGAAAGAUUGUCAAUGCUUGCAGAAUUUGCUAGAAACGGAGUGUGUAUUCUAACUAUGGAAAAGUGCACAGAGUCUCCUUAGAACAAGGCAAUGUCCCCUGAGAGAAUGAAAAUUGACUAAGGAGAAGACAAAAGUGAUGAGUGGGGCUUGAAAGUUAGGUAUUAUUCGCUGCUUCCAAGUUUUUCUUCCAGAAGCUUUGAGAUGCAUCACAGUCCCACAAUAACCCUAACAGGUCUGUUAGGAUGGCAAACAGUGACCUGCCUAAGGUCACCCAAAUGAGUUUCAUAGGUAAGUGAAGAUCUGGAUUGUGGCUUUCCAUACCUAACCCAAUUCAAGCCCCUUCAGCAUAUUGGCUAGUUCAGGUCAUAUUAAUACCAAAGUGCCAUUGUUAUGUAAAGGUGGAGGCGGGGUAGAGUGGGAGAGAUGAUGGGGAGGAGAAAAAGGGAUGGCAAAGGAAUCUCAUUACGUACAUGCAUGCCUGCAUGCACACAGCCCUAUGGUACAAGAAGAGUUUGGAUUAGAUAUCCCGCCUUUCACUCCCUUUAAGGAGUCUCAAAGCGGCUAACAUUCUCCUUUCCCUUCCUCCCCCACAACAAACACUCUGUGAGGUGAGUGGGGCUGAGAGACUUCACGGAAGUGUGACUGGCCCAAGGUCACCCAGCAGCUGCAUGUGGAGGAGCGGAGACGCCAACCCGGUUCCCCAGAUUACGAGACUACCGCUCUUAACCACUACACCACACUGGCUCUCAAUCUGUAGCAUAUGUGUGAAUACUGCAAUAAUGGGAAACAUCUAAGCCAGCUCCUGAACCCCCCUCCCCAUGAGCCACUUUGACGGGGGUUGGCACAGCCCACUUGUCUAUCACAUGAUGCCUUUAACUUCCAGUGAAAGGAUUGGGAACCCAAAUUUAAGAAUAUGCUCCCAUUUCUUUGUUUUCUUCCUUUGCAAGUGUGACUUGAAUCGAGCCUCAGCUGCAAAGGGAUAUCCUUUGCAUCCUGUGUAUGGGUUCCAAUAAGGGAUGUAAAGGAAGUAUGCAAGCCCUGCUUGCAGCAGAGAUUGGCUCCACUAAGGAGCCAAUUCCAGCAUGAUUUGCAUUGUAAGGCACUGCAGGUAAGCCCUGCUUGCAGAGGAGCAAUUGGGACUUCUCUCUAGCACUCCUGAUUGUUCCUUUGCAGCUGCAGCUUUACCUGCUUGAAACCUGGUGUCAGAUGUGGGAAGGUUGGUGUGGAUGAGUGCGGGGAAUAGCUUCAUGGCUCAAGUAAGGCCCCUGGCAGCCCUAAUUUGCCCCAAAGGACUGGGGUUCCCCAUGCUGCUUCAGAACUGACACCUUGCUACAGAGACUGCACCAUGUCUCUUCAGUUACACAUUAUUGCAGCUAAGCCUCCACAACGGCCUAUAGGUUUGAGCACCUGUUUAUAAAUUCACUGACUUAUUUGGAAAAGCCAAGGAGAAAUGUAAUCAUUUCUAGUCUCGGGGUUAAAAAGAAGCCCACAAGAAAAAGAAAAUCUGGACAAAGCUGGAAAACAGAAACACAGAUCAAGAAAAGGGAGUGGGGGAAUUAACAAAAGUGAAGGAGAGAGGACGGGAAUUAAAACCCAAAGAGUGGGUGGGCAGAGAGAACAGCACAGGGAGUACACUGUUCUGGGAAAUCUCUGUAAAGGAGAAGAGGAUCAGCAUCCAAAGCGAAGUGCAGCAAAUGAGGCAAAGAGGAGCCAUGUGCAAGAGAAUGAAACAGACAUGUAUUCAUAAUGGGAAGAAUACACAGCGUCAUUAUUCAAGGGAACUGCAGCUUGAGUCCUCAUGUUACAUAGCCUCUGCAAAAUAAUUUAAUAAUAAUUUAUUAUUUAUACCCCGCCCAUCUGGCUGAGUUUCCUGGGCCACGUCAAUGAUGAGAGGGGUAUCUAGCUAUUUCGUCCUCUGCAGAGGCAUUGCAUGAACACCAGGUGACGUUGCCGGCCUGCCCUGAACCAAAACGUGGGCAGAUUCCGGUGCUUGGGACAUGAGCAAUGCAGGCUGGCACUGAAAGGGCAGUAGAUCUCUAGAGACACUCUCAUGCGGGGAGGUUGCUUCUUGGGUGUUCCUUUGCCAUCAUGCACAGUUCACAGACCACAUACAUUUUGGCCAGUUUGUGAGAGGGAGAAUGCAUGAUGCGAGGCGUCAGGUUACAAGGUUUUGUGUGAUGCGUCUCCCCGAUGUACAGUUUUGCAAGUCUGGAGUGGAUUGCAUUGGUGUGCCCAGGAAGUGUUGCAGGCACCUAUUAUGUGUGAUUUGUGACGGAAGUUCUGACAGAGAGCAACACUAACUCCACCCCUGCACUUUACUGCCUGUUGCUCAAACACACCGUGACACUUUGCAAAUCCUGUUUCUUCAGUUGUUUGUAGCUUCCAUGUGCUCCCACCUCCUGCUUCCAUAGUAUUCAGAAGUAUAGUAUACCUGAGCCCUUGAGUGUAUGUGUUACAGGAAUAUUCCUUUCACUCUGGCAGGAUUUAUUUUUUCGUAUGGAUGAAUAUUCCUACAUGUGAGUCCCAACCAUAGGCUGCCUUGCAGGCAGAAGGCCCCUGGUUCAAUCCCUGAUGAUUCCAGGUAGGGCUGGGGGAAAAACUCCCUGCCUGAAACCUGGAUGAGCCACUAUAAGGCAACUUCCUCUCUUGCUACGUGGUACAGGCCAGACACAGUUUUACUCACUGAGGUUAAUCGGAGGCUUAUUGUAACAUUAACCAUUGUAGGCAGCACAAAAAUCAUGUCAAGCUUGAAAGCUUGUGUACUCCUUUGUGAUUUUCAGUUUGAUCCUAUUAAAGGCAUUAUGCCUGGACCUUUCACUUGAUCAUGGGAAACCACCAGGGGCGGGGCUUUAAGGAUCGGCUCCUUGUGACUCAUUCCCAGGAAACACUGAGACAUUGGCAUUACCAGCUGGGCUGGUUCCCCAGGUCACCUGAGCAGAAAUGCCCUUGCCAGGUUACGUUCAAUUUGGGAAGGGCAAGAGAGCCUUGGGACACAGCCCUUCAUGGCCAUAUAGACAUCUCUUUAUGUAUGUAUCUAGCCAGCCGGCCUUCCCCAACCUGAUGUCCUCCAGAUUUUGGAGGCUACAACUCCCAUAAAUCACAUCAAUCCUCCACUCUGCUUUGAACGUGGUUGGAACAGGCUCACAUUGAGGGCCAUAGAUCAGUUUGGCAAAGUCCCUGCUUGGCAUCCAAAAGGUCCCAAGUUCAAUCUCUAACGUCUGACCAACUCUGAGCUUGGUAGACCAGUGAUCUGACUCAGUAUAAGGCAGCUUCUCAUGUCCUGGGUUCCCAUGUGACUAGAUCGGGCUCACAUUUGAAGGCACAGGUCUGCCACUCUUGUGUGUUACUUAGAAGCCUUCUGAGGCUGACCAGGAAUAUUCCCAUCCACUCUCCCUCCCUCCACAACAGAGAGUUGUUUUUGGAGGGGUUGCCAAGCCAUGGCCCUGUGUUUGACUAGAACCCUAACAAAAAGCCAGCAUCCUGGGGGUUAAUGGAUAUCAGCGUUCCAGUGGCAGCUGCUGACUCAACUUUGUACAGCACAAGUUGGACACACCCAGGUGAGGUGUCUGCAGGGCUGGCGAAUGAAUGCAACACACCGCAGGUGAAAAGAACAAAGCUAGGCAAGCCUGGGAGAGCAAGUUCUGGUUGGCCCCACCCCAUGUCCUCCUGCCUGCCUGCCUGCCUGCCUGCCUGCCUGCCUGCCUCCCAACCCUCCAGUUAGUUUCCAGCAUUUCCCCAGCUCAUGAAUGUAUAGUCUCUCUUUAGACCCAGUGUAGCCCCAGUUCAUUGGAGCUGCAAAUCCUCCACUGUGCAGAAAAGAACAGACAAUUCUUUCCCCUCCUUUAGGAACCAGAAUGCUCCAGGCGUGUUCCCUGAACAGGACUCCCAGGGCUGGUUGAAUGGGGCUAGGCUAGGAUAUGAACCCUGUCAACCCAAAGCAACAUCUGGGCACAUCACCAAAGCCCCCAGAGCCACAGAUUAUACCAGAGAUGAGAUUUAAUACCAACUGUUUCCAUGGACUUAUAUAUUCCUCCGCUGCCAAGCUCCGCAGGGAUUUAGAUUAAGCAAAAUACAGAAGCUUUGUAUAUAUAAUAUCAGAGUGUUCAUAAAUAGAGCAAGAGGCAGGCUUUAUAGCCUCCUUUGCCAUUUCAGUGUUCGGCCAGAAGGACAGAGGAGGAGCCAAGUUAGUCUGCGGCAGCAAAAUUAGCAAAAGAAUGUUGUGGUGCCAAAAAAUGCUAGGUACUUACUUACUUACUUAUUUAUUGUAUUUAUUAUAUAUGUAUUCAGAGUUCUUUUCAGCCGGAACUUGCCAGAACUCAGUUCUGGCACCUCUCAAGUAGGUGCCAUUGCCAUGACAAGAGAACAAAGGAGGUGUCCAUGGUGGGUUCUGGCAACUCAUUUCCUAUAAAAUUAGCAUGGUAUGUAUUUCAAUUUUGCAGGCCCCUGUCAUACCUGUUAUUUGUAAAGUGCCAUGUUUACAAAUAUGCUAUAUUAAUAAAUAAAUCUGUUUUC